CUACUAUCCAGCGAAACCACAGCCAAGGGAACGGGCUUGGCGGAAUCAGCGGGGAAAGAAGACCCUGUUGAGCUUGACUCUAGUCCGACUUUUGUAAAUGACUUGAGAGGUGUAGGAUAAGUGGGAGCCCUUACGGGCGCAAGUGAAAUACCACUACUUUUAACGUUAUUUUACUUAUUCCGUGGGUCGGAAGCGGGGCAUG
rnacentral:ncRNA from 1 species